UGACGAGAGAGUUUUUGAUGAAGAGCCUACGCACCUGUUUGGUUCGGGGUUAAGGGGUGAAAUAAGCCCUUAACCCUGAAGUUAUUUUCAAACAUUCAAUUUGGGGGGUGGGGUUAGCUAAUCCCAUUAUUCCAACCAAACAAAAUACUAUUUUACCUACUAUACUUCUUAUUCCACCUAUUCCAACCAAACAUUAUUUUAUCUAUACCGGGAUUAAAUCCAAUAAACAUAUUUUUAUCAAAAUACUGAUAAAAAUUUUUCGACGUUAUAUUAAAGCACCAGUAUACUUAUCUCGACAUAUUUAUUUAACGAUUUCUUGCUCGACUUUUUUACGAGCGUUAGAAAUUAUUCUUGCCGGUACCUCAAAACAUCGUUAGUUAUUAUAUAUUUAAAAUGUUCUUAAAUGUAAGAUUU
rnacentral:lncRNA from 1 species